ACAAACAGUGAAAUUCUGUAAUCAAGUAGCCAACUAGAUGUGCACCCUCUUUAGUGAUUGUGUAUUUUUUUGUCAACAAGCACUUUGAUAUUAAUUUCAAGUUGUAGCUAAAAUAAAGUGACGUGAAUACCAGAAAAUUAUAUGCUUCCUCAGUUUUGCAGAGUGGUAAAUCGCCGAAAUUGCGCAAUAAAAAAUGGCCCCCCAACUUCGGAGCCAUACGAAAAGCGCUAAUACUCCUGCUGCAGUCGAUAAGUCUGACAGUAUCAGAAUAGAGAUAGAUUCUGAGCAGGGGCCUACGUCAACGUCGACGGAAUUUGUGGAUCCAACCAUCGCACGCGCCAACCGAGCGCUGCGUAAGACGCGAAGAAAAAUUCGCAGAAUCAUAAAACUCAACAAAGAGAUGAAUUUAGUGGCGCGACCAGCACCGCCGGCGGAUAUUCCACCCCAACACCAGAUUGUACAGCAGUACCAGUGGGUGAUUCAUUACUUUCCUCCGAUGACUCAUUGUCUCCCUCCGAUGUUCCUCCAACUGCUCAAUCAGUAGACCAGGGACUGGAAUUCGUUUAUAUUAAUUUCAUCACCUGAAUGUAACUGCCGCUUCUAUAAUUCAGAAUCUACCCACCAUCCUCAGACAUUGUUGAUUUUUUUGUUUGCUAUAUUUGAUAUGUAGUUUGUGUAACGGCAACAUUUGAAGCGAUAAUAAAUAUGAAAAAUUUUAUAAAAUAAA